AUUGAACGCUGGCGGCAGGCCCAACACAUGCAAGUCGAACGGUAACAGGAAACAGCUUGCUGUUUCGCUGACGAGUGGCGGACGGGUGAGUAAUGUCUGGGAAACUGCCUGAUGGAGGGGGAUAACUACUGGAAACGGUAGCUAAUACCGCAUAACGUCGCAAGACCAAAGAGGGGGACCCUCGGGCCUCUUGCCAUCGGAUGUGCCCAGAUGGGAUUAGCUUGUUGGUGGGGUAACAGCUCACCAAGGCGACGAUCCCUAGCUGGUCUGAGAGGAUGACCAGCCACACUGGAACUGAGACACGGUCCAGACUCCUACGGGAGGCAGCAGUGGGGAAUAUUGCACAAUGGGCGCAAGCCUGAUGCAGCCAUGCCGCGUGUAUGAAGAAGGCCUUCGGGUUGUAAAGUACUUUCAGCGGGGAGGAAGGGAGUAAAGUUAAUACCUUUGCUCAUUGACGUUACCCGCAGAAGAAGCACCGGCUAACUCCGUG
rnacentral:rRNA from 1 species